AGGAUGAACGCUGGCGGCGUGCCUAAUACAUGCAAGUCGAGCGGUAAGGCCCCUUCGGGGGUACACGAGCGGCGGACGGCUGAGUAACACGUAGGAACGUACCCCAAAGUGAGGGAUAAGCACCAGAAAUGGUGUCUAAUACCGCAUGUGCUCUUCGGAGGAAAGCUUCGGCGCUUUGGGAACGGCCUGCGCAUGAUUAGCUUGUUGGUGAGGUAAUGGCUCACCAAGGCGACGAUCAUUAGCUGGUCUGAGAGGAUGAUCAGCCAGACUGGGACUGAGAACGGCCCAGACUCCUACGGGAGGCAGCAGUAGGGAAUUUUCCACAAUGGGCGAAAGCCUGAUGGAGCAACGCCGCGUGCAGGAUGAAGGCCUUCGGGUUGUAAACUGUCUUUUAUAUGUGACGAAUAUGACGGUAGCAUAUGAAUAAGGAUCGGCUAACGUCCGUGCCAGCAGCCGC
rnacentral:rRNA from 1 species